UUAAAAGAGAGGGUGGCUACAUAAGCAU
rnacentral:piRNA from 1 species